rnacentral:rRNA from 1 species
AACGAACGCUGGCGGCAUGCCUAACACAUGCAAGUCGAACGAACUCUUCGGAGUUAGUGGCGCACGGGUGCGUAACGCGUGGGAAUCUGCCCUUGGGUACGGAAUAACUCAGAGAAAUUUGUGCUAAUACCGUAUAAUGACUUCGGUCCAAAGAUUUAUCGCCCAAGGAUGAGCCCGCGUAAGAUUAACUAGUUGGUGGGGUAAAAGCCUACCAAGGCGACGAUCUUUAGCUGGUCUGAGAGGAUGAUCAGCCACACUGGGACUGAGACACGGCCCAGACUCCUACGGGAGGCAGCAGUGGGGAAUAUUGGACAAUGGGCGAAAGCCUGAUCCAGCAAUGCCGCGUGAGUGAUGAAGGCCUUAGGGUUGUAAAGCUCUUUUACCCGGGAUGAUAAUGACAGUACCGGGAGAAUAAGCUCCGGCUAACUCCGUGCCAGCAGCCGCGGUAAU